rnacentral:rRNA from 1 species
AUUGAACGCUGGCGGCAGGCCUAACACAUGCAAGUCGAGCGGAGAGGCGGACGGGUGAGUAAUGCCUAGGAAUCUGCCUGGUCGUGGGGGAUAACGUCCGGAAACGGGCGCUAAUACCGCAUCCUAUCAGAUGAGCCGAGGUCGGAUUAUCUAGUGGGUGGGGUAAAGGCCUACCAAGGCGACGAUCCGUAACUGGUCUGAGAGGAUGAUCAGUCACACUGGAACUGAGAGACGGUCCAGAUGCCUACGGGAGGCAGCAGUGGGGAAUAUUGGACAAUGGGCGAAAGCCUGAUCCAGCCAUGCCGUGUGUGUGAUGAAGGUCUUCGGAUUGUAAAGCACUUUAAGUUGGGAGGCGUUACCAACAGAAUAAGCACCGGCUAACUACGUGCCAGCCGCCGCGGUAAUAC